UACGGAGGGAGCUAGCGUUGUUCGGAAUUACUGGGCGUAAAGCGCACGUAGGCGGCUUUGUAAGUUAGAGGUGAAAGCCUGGAGCUCAACUCCAGAAUAGCCUUUAAGACUGCAUCGCUUGAAUCCAGGAGAGGUGAGUGGAAUUCCGAGUGUAGAGGUGAAAUUCGUAGAUAUUCGGAGGAACACCAGUGGCGAAGGCGGCUCACUGGCUCGAUACUGACGCUGAGGUGCGAAAGCGUGGGGAGCAAACAGG
rnacentral:rRNA from 1 species